UACAGAAUCAUCUUUCCUCCUCUUCUCCUGGGACACAGCUUGUUCACUCUGACUGGGUUCAUUCCCCUUGCCUAGAAGGAGUUCUGCAGUUCCCCAGGCAAACCCAUCUCAUCUCAGAGACUGGAAGCUCCUGGUGAGCCAGGCCUGGGUCUCACUCUUCUUGGUUCCCCGACGUGCCACAAGCUCAGAGCCCGCUGGCUGGUUUCAGCUGACCUGCCUCUACGACCCCACCUUGGACAGACGAAUUAAUUAGCUGCUCUCAGUCCUGGCUGGCCAGCCCAAAGCCAGAGCCUCUGUGAGUCUGCCCGGCACACAGCAAGUGCUACGUCCAGCCACUUGGGAGAUGACAGAAGAGCCUAGAAAAGCCUUCAGAGAAAUCCAAGGGCCUUGUGUCACCUGGAGCAGAUGAAAGGAGAACAUCAGCUAUAAUGGAAAUAACCAAAGAGAGGAAAAGCAUUUAGGACAAGGAUCAGAACAACGACAACAUGCCUCACAUGGUUCGGUCCUUUAUAGUUUACAACCAAGUGCCCCCGGUUUAUCAAUGAUCCAAGUCCUGGUGCUCAGUAAAUAGUAGCUAUUAUUCUCAUUUCCAUUUUACAGAUGAAAAAACUGAGGACUCAGAGACAUAAAGCCAUUUGGCCAAGAUCACACAGCUGUUAGGUAACAGAUCCAGGACUUAAGUCAGUUUUCUAACAUCUUAAUCCAGAGCUGUUUCAAAACACCACAGGUUCAGUGUAGAAAAAAUGAGGCAAAGGUGGGGCUAGUGGAGGGACUUUAUGCAGAUGACAUGGGCCAGAACCCUGAGACCUAUAGUCCUUUCCAGUCUUUUUUUUUUUUUUUUUUUUUUGCCAUGCUGCGUGGCUUGCGGGAUCUCAGUUCCCAGGGAUUGAACCCAGGCCAUGGCAGUGAAAGUGCCAAAUCCUAACCACUAGACCAUCAGGGAACUCCCAGUCCUUUCCAGUCUUGAGGUCAACAUUCACCCGUGCACUCUGAUCCUCCUCACUCUCUGACUCUCCCUCAUUCCGGUCCUCAGUCAGUCCUUGGGUGCCAGCCUUGGAGGUAGCAGAUUCCAUGAGGACCAGGAAAUAGCAGCCCUAAGAUCCUCCACAGCUUGGAGAAGGUUGUAUCAACAUGACAGUGCCAGGAAAGAGCCCUUGGGAAAAACCACCUGGGACAGCCCGUGGCCAAGGCCCAGCCUGGACCAGGCAGUAUAGCAUAAGAAUUAAGAUUAAGAAUCUAGCCAGAUUGUCUAGUCAGAUCCCCACACCACCACUCACUAGUUAGAAGACCUUGGGUAAAUCAGUCAACCUCCCUGAUUCACUGUUUCUUCCUCCAUCACAUGGAAACAAUAAUGCCAAUCUCAUGGGGCUGUUCUAAGGGUCUUAGCCAAUGUACAUAUAGAACUCAGGGCAGCAGCCAGCAAGUACCACAUAUAUUUACCAUCUUUAUCUUUAUUUACAUGUACUGAGGGGCUCAAAUGUAGACUUUCGGUGUUAGGGCCACAUGAAGUUAUACAUUCAGACACAGAAACACAGGCUAGAAAGAAGUCCCUCACAUCUGUGAAACUGGUCCCAUCAUCAGACCACUCCCCCGUGGACUUCCCAUUGACCAAAUCCAAGCCGAGGCUAGAAGGCAUAGAGCCGUUGAUGUCCUCCAUCCAAGUCAGCCAACCAGGGGAGAGGAAGGGAGGAGUAGGUCGAAGAAUGGACCUGCUGGUCCACAUGCAGGCUAUCUGGCACGUUUUAAAAUUGACAACUGAAACGUUCAUUUUAGGGACUUCCCUGGUGGCACAGUGGUUAAGAAUCCGCCUGCCAAUGCAGGGGACACGGGUUCGAGCCCUGGUCUGGGAAGAUUCCACAUGCUGUGGAGCAACUAAGCCUGUGCGCCACAACUACUGAGCCACGUGUUGCAAAUACAGAUGCCCAUGCACCUAGAGCCCGUGAUCCACAAGAGAAACCACCACAAUGAGAAGCCUGCGCACUGCAAUGAAGACUAAACGCAGCCAAUAAAUAAAUAAAUAAAUAAAAUUAAAGAUACUGCAGUUUUAAAAAAAUGAAAAUAAAAUGAAGGAAUGGAUAUAGAUCAAACAUUUAAAAAAUAAUAAUAAAAUAUUCAUCUUAAAUGUAAGCCAUUGCAAAGGAUAUACUUGCUAGCAUAUUGAAAAUAUCUUUAAAAAACUGUUCCAUCAUCAGUUGAAUGUAAGUAUCAUCAUGGUUUUAUACUCACUAUCAUUCAUGUCAAGAAAAUAUCAGAACAAGCUGUACAUUAGCAGGCAGAAAUGCUACAUCAUUAUUUUUUUUCUUCUUGAAUGUAUAGUUACAUUUUGCUUCCUCUCACAGAAUGUUCUCCUAGGGUAAUAUAUUUUCUGCUGGAAAGUCUGUUAUUGAUUACCUAAUUCAUACUCCCAACAGAAAUUUAUAUAUAUGAUUGCACUUUAAGAAAUUUUAAAAUUUAAAUAAUUUAAAAUUUCCUUUGACUCUAAAGCUCUAUGUUUUAAAAUUUCUUCUGGAUUGAAAUAUCACUUAUUAUUGCAUUAGUACACAAUUGAUCAAAGCAACAUAACAUAUAUCUUUUGAAAAAUGAUUAUUAAACAAAGAGUAAAAUGAUAUUGGAAAUGUAUCUCUUACUGAAAUAGAUUUUUUUCAAUUAGUUUAUGUAUUUAUGAAUAAAUGUUACUUAUUGCUGGAAUGAA